rnacentral:rRNA from 1 species
CCUACGGGAGGCAGCAGUGAGGAAUAUUGGUCAAUGGACGAGAGUCUGAACCAGCCAAGUAGCGUGAAGGAUGACUGCCCUAUGGGUUGUAAACUUCUUUUAUAAAGGAAUAAAACGAGGCACGUGUGCCUUUUUGCAUGUACCUUAUGAAUAAGGAUCGGCUAACUCCGUGCCAGCAGCCGCGGUAAUACGGAGGAUCCGAGCGUUAUCCGGAUUUAUUGGGUUUAAAGGGAGCGUAGAUGGGUUGUUAAGUUAGUUGUGAAAGUUUGCGGCUCAACCGUAAAAUUGCCAUUGAUACUGGCAGUCUAGAGAACAGUUGAGGUAGGCGGAAUGCGUGGUGUAGCGGUGAAAUGCUUAGAUAUCACGCAGAACCCCGAUUGCGAAGGCAGCUUACUAAACUGUGACUGACAUUGAUGCACGAAAGUGUGGGUAUCAAACAGGAUUAGAUACCCCGGUAGUC